GACGAACGCUGGCGGCGUGCUUAACACAUGCAAGUCGAACGAUGAAGCCGGAGCUUGCUCUGGUGAAUUAGUGGCGAACGGGUGAGUAACACGUGAGUAACCUGCCCUUGACUCUGGGAUAACUGCGGGAAACUGUAGCUAAUACCGGAUACGACCCUCGGAGGCAUCUCCUGGGGGUGGAAAGAAUUUCGGUCAAGGAUGGACUCGCGGCCUAUCAGCUAGUUGGUGAGGUAAAGGCUCACCAAGGCGACGACGGGUAGCCGGCCUGGGAGGGUGAGCGGCCACACUGGGACUGGGACACGGCCCAGACUCCUACGGGAGGCAGCAGUGGGGAAUAUUGCACAAUGGGCGCAAGCCUGAUGCAGCAACGCCGCGUGAGGGAUGACGGCCUUCGGGUUGUAAACCUCUUUUAGCAGGGAAGAAGCGAAAGCGACGGUACCUGCAGAAAAAGCACCGGCUAACUACGUGCCAGCAGCCGCCGUAA
rnacentral:rRNA from 1 species